ACCGCCCCCGCCCCCGCUCCGCAACCGGAGCUCGCGCCAACUCUGCGACCGAGACCCCCGGAUUGCAGGAGCGGGCCACGCCGCGCAGUGCCCACGCCCGCCAGGAGUUAUUGCAGUAUUCUGUCUGGGUCUUUCCGUGUCAUCCGCCCCACGAUCGUCUUGACAACUCUGUAGCUAACAAGGUGUUGCUCUUUAUGAUGGCUGCUAUCCCGUGAAAGCUGCCAAUGGGUAACUGAGGAGAAGAGAAGCAAUUCAUGCCGAGCAGGACUGGAUGAGAAAUUGGAUCAAGAUUGACUCAGCUGCAAUUCUGGGUCCAGAAAACACCAAAUAUGUAGUCUUGAUGUGGAAGCACAUUGAUUGUGAUAAUCAUCCAGAUAAUAAGGCACAGAAGACAAGAAAAAUUAUUUUUUUCCUAAGCAUACUUGUGAUAACUCUUGCUUAGUAAUGUGUGUGUAUAUGUGAAAAGGCAGAGAAAAGGGAAGAGAGACAGGAAGAGAGAGGGGGAGGUAAUUACCAUGUUUGAUUAAUUUAGUUUAUCUGAUCACAAUAUUUUUUUUAAUUUACCAAAUUAGUGAGUUAAUCUUUUAAUGUUAUCUAUUUCCAAAAAACUGGGCUUUGAGUUUCCUAUUGUAUAUGGUCCUAGCACCUACAUAGUAAUACAUAUUUCAUUCAAACAGACAGUUGUUGACACACUGAAAAGCAUCAUCUAAAUUAUCCCUAAGAACAGUAUCUUGAUAAAAUUUGAAAGUAACCUAAACAUAUGUAUAGGUAUAAAUAUAGCAAUAGCAAGAAUAAAACUGAAAAGAGAACAUAUUUGUACUACUUGAAUAUAUAAUAAGCAAACAACACUAAUAAGAGUCUAAGCCACAUUAUACCAGUACUCUGGGAAGCUGGAAACUGGUUUUACCAUCUGUCAGCUUCUAUACUGGCAGCAUCACAAAUGAGACCUCUUUUGAACAAAACAUCACAGCAGGAGCCACAGACAUGUGAAUUGUAAUUAACACGUGAAAAUGCAUUUCAUAGCUUUUGUCAUUUAUAGAAAACAUAUUGUGAAUUUUUGAUUUAUAAAAUUAUAUCAAAUGUAAGCCAUUUUAAUUUUCCAAACUUAUACACUAUUUCAUCAAAACUUUGGCCUUUACCAACAGUGAGUAUUCCUUAGGUCUGGUUCACUCUUUAAUGAGGAUCAAUUAUUUCCUAAUCAUUCAGGUACAGAAGAUGAACAAAAAUAUAAAUCUGCUGAGGACAAAUAGUAUUGUUUUACAUUUAUUUAAUAGUAUUUUCUACAAUAAAAACUAUUUUCUAUAAUAAAAAGGUAUAUUCCUGGCCAGGCGGUGGUGGCGCACUCCUUUAAUCCCAGCACUUGGGAGGCAGAGGCAAGCAGAUUUCUGAGUGCGAGGCUAGCCUGGUCUACAAAGUGAGUUCCAGGACAGCCAGGACUAUACAGAGAAACCCUGUCUCAAAAAAAAAAAAAAAAAAAAAAACCUGAGAAAUAUAAAGUCAAAUCAAAUCCUCAAACCUAAUAAAAUUUUUUCCUCCCUUUCAUACCUAAGAGAACAAAAAUAUUCUAGUUUCUUAGCUCUUUCAUACCUGAAAACCCAAAUGCACAGCUCAUGAGAUGUAACUGUUGUGUUACACACAUUAAACAAAUGUUCAAAAAUAGC
rnacentral:lncRNA from 1 species